GCCAGGCGUGGUGGCGCAUGCCUGUAAUCCCAGCUACUUAGGAGGCUGAGGCAGGAGAAUGGCUUGAACCCAGGAGGCGGAGGUUGCAGUGAAUGGAGAUCACGCCAUUGCACUCCAGCCUGGGCAACAGAGUGAGACCCUGUCUCAA
rnacentral:SRP_RNA from 1 species